rnacentral:lncRNA from 1 species
GGAGACUGAGCUGUGUCUUGGUCUUCCCGGUGGAAUGACAGGAACCAAGAGAGGAUUCUCGGAGACGGUUGAUCUGAAACUCAAUCUGAACAAUGAACCUGAAAGCAAGGAAGUUUCUAAGACUCAUGACGUCGUGAUUUCUGUUUCUAAAGAAAAGAAUACAUGUCCCAAAGAUCCUACCAAGCCUCCUGCCAAGUAAUUUUACCAUUCUCCCUUUUCUAUUUAUUUUCCGAUCUUCACUUAAUUUUCUUUUUCUCGCCCAUGUUAAAAGGAAAACUAAUCUUGAUAUACAAAUAAAAUCUUUCCUGCAACCCAUAAAACAAUGAAAUCACUUAACUUUGUUAUUUUUUUAAAGAAGCUCAAACAAUCGAACUGAUAUGUCUAUACCAUAUCAACUGGUGGUAAAAAAAACAAUUGGUGAUAGCUAACUACAGUGUAUAGGAAUAACAAAUAUAAUUAGAGACCUUGUAUAACAUAACGGUUUCCAAGUUUUCUGUAUAUAUAAUUUUAUAGGGCACAAGUUGUGGGAUGGCCACCGGUGAGAUCAUACCGGAAGAACGUGAUGGGUUCAUGCCAAAAAUCAAACGGUGUCACGGAGACGGCGGUGUUUGUAAAGGUUUCGAUGGACGGAGCACCUUACUUGAGAAA